UUAUACUAUGGGUAUUCCAGGCACACAGAAACUACAACCAAAUGAUCAAGAUGCAGCUUCUUCUCUACCCUCAGCUCUUUCUCCAGCACCAUGUCUGCCUGUAUGCCAUCAUAUCCUGCCCUGAUGACAAAGGACUAAGCCUUUUGAACUCUGAGACAAAGUCGUAUCACUCUGAGCCAGACCCUGCGAUGUGUCCAUGAUUGUUGAGUGGCUGAGUAACCCACAAUCUUCAAGGCAGAUGGGAGAAAU